AGGUGACUGAAAGCUCAGGUGAGCUCGCGCUCUCCUUAAAUGACGUAACAGCAGGACAGACACGAGCCGCUAGAGUUCACGACCACAAAAUAUGCAUGGUUGCUGCCUAAAAAAUACUGCAUUACAAAUAAGAUUUGAGGGAGUACCACCAGCCAUGCCAGGGGUACCACACUAUUCCGUCAUCAGUGACUGCGCUGUAGGGGCCUCUGUGGUAGAAUCCAUUCAGAUUGGCAGAGUGACAUCUAGAGGAAUACAGAUGCAAACCUGUUAAACCACCAGCCACCCUUGUCCUCCUGAGCACAACUGCGAUCGUAGCGGUCAUUAUCUCUGUCUCGUGUGCUGAACUUCAUUCCCUGAUGGCUGGCCCACCACUGAACCUCAGGAUGAUAACUGCCAGAGAGAGCGUCCCCUGCGUUUCCUGUGUAUACGCCAAACUGGAGCUGGUAAUGGUUCUGAGAAGACAAAUGGGAUUGUUAAAAGAUUAACCAAAUAAACAGAUAUUAUUCCAUUCAGGUCAGAUGAAAUGUAUAAAUUGUGUAACACAUUCGUUUUGUUCUUAAUGGAAAUAGAAUACAGUUAUACGCCCUGAUGUACUGAUCUAUUAGAAACUUCACAUGCCACCUGUUGGUUCAUAAUGGGCAUUGUAUAUUUAUCCACACAUCAUUUAUCAUAAUAUGA